rnacentral:tRNA from 1 species
UCUCUUGUAGCUCAGUGGUAGAGCAUCUGACUGGUGUGCGGAUGGUUAUAGGUUCGACUCCUGUUGGGCGAA